UCAGGUGGAAUGCUUCUACUGUAAGAAGCAAGGGCACUAGAAGAGGAAUUGUCUUCAGUACAUUGCCUCCUUGGAUCCAAACAGACCAAGAAAAAAGCAAGUUGUUCCUGGACAAGAAAAUUAUAUGAUAACACCUUGUAAUUUCUCAAUUUGUGAUUCUACUACCUGGGUAUUAGAUACCGAAAGUCUUUUUAAUAUUUGUAAAUCGUUGCAGGGUCUGCAUGUCAAUAGGAGAUUUGAAGAAGGUGAAGGUUCCUUAAUAUUAGAGAUGGAAGAUUAGUUCCAGUUCUAGCAUUAGGGAUUGUUAAGCUUGUAUUCAAGUUCAAUAUAAUUG
rnacentral:lncRNA from 1 species